UACGUAGGGGGCUAGCGUUGUCCGGAUUUAUUGGGCGUAAAGAGCGCGCAGGCGGCUGGUCAAGUCCGAUGUGAAAGCUCCCGGCUUAACUGGGAAAUUGCAUCGGAAACUGAUCGGUUUGAAGGUGGGAGAGGGUAGUGGAAUUCCCGGUGUAGUGGUGAAAUGCGUAGAUAUCGGGAGGAACACCAGUGGCGAAGGCGACUACCUGGCCCACUCUUGACGCUGAGGCGCGAAAGCUAGGGGAGCGAACGGG
rnacentral:rRNA from 1 species